GAGCUCGCGUCUGAUUAGCUAGUAGGUGUGGUAAGAGCGCACCUACGCGACGAUCAUAGCUGGUCUGAGAGGAUGAUCACCCACACUGGGACUGAAACACGGCCCAGACUCCUACGGGAGGCACCAGGGGGGAAUUUUCCGCAAUGGGCGAAAGCCUGACGGAGCAAUACCGCGUGAGGGAGGAAGGCUCUUGGGUUGUAAACCUCUUUUCUCAAGGAAGAAAAGAUGACGGUACUUGAGGAAUAAGCAUCGGCUAACUCCGUGCCAGCAGCCGCGGUAAUACGGAGGAUGCAAGCGUUAUCCGGAAUGAUUGGGCGUAAAGCGUCCGCAGGUGGCUAUGUAAGUCUGCUGUUAAAGAGUGAGGCUCAACCUCAUAAAAGCAGUGGAAACUACAUAUCUAGAGUGCGUUCGGGGCAAAGGGAAUUCCUGGUGUAGCGGUGAAAUGCGUAAAAAUCAGGAAAAACACCGGUGGCGAAAGCGCUCUGCUAGGCCGCAACUGACACUGAGGGACGAAAGCUAGGGGAGCGAAUGGGAUUAAAUACCCC
rnacentral:rRNA from 3 species